UCCGUUGUAGUCUAGGUGGUUAGGAUACUAAGCUCUCACUUGAGAGACCCGGAUUCAAGUCCCGGCAUCGGAA
rfam:Gossypium arboreum cultivar AKA8401 contig_82698_1, whole genome shotgun sequence.